rnacentral:rRNA from 1 species
CCUACGGGAGGCAGCAGUGGGGAAUCUUGGACAAUGGGCGCAAGCCUGAUCCAGCCAUGCCGCGUGAGUGAUGAAGGCCUUAGGGUCGUAAAGCUCUUUCGCCAGAGAUGAUAAUGACAGUAUCUGGUAAAGAAACCCCGGCUAACUCCGUGCCAGCAGCCGCGGUAAUACGGAGGGGGUUAGCGUUGUUCGGAAUUACUGGGCGUAAAGCGCGCGUAGGCGGACUAGUCAGUCAGGGGUGAAAUCCCGGGGCUCAACCCCGGAACUGCCUUUGAUACUGCUAGUCUAGAGUUCGAGAGAGGUGAGUGGAAUUCCGAGUGUAGAGGUGAAAUUCGUAGAUAUUCGGAGGAACACCAGUGGCGAAGGCGGCUCACUGGCUCGAUACUGACGCUGAGGUGCGAAAGUGUGGGGAGCAAACAGGAUUAGAUACCCUGGUAGUCCACACCGUAAACGAUGAAUGCCAGUCGUCGGGUAGCAUGCUAUUCGGUGACACACCUAACGGAUUAAGCAUUCCGCCUGGGGNNNNNCGGUCGCAAGAUUAAAACUCAAAGGAAUUGACGG